AGCCCCGUAGUGAAAUUCAUGUUGAGUUGCAAGCUCUGCGAUGUGCAUUAAAGGUGCACCGGGACUU
rnacentral:tRNA from 1 species